GGAGCCGUAGGGAAACCGAGUCUUAAUAGGGCGUAUAGUUGCUGGGAUUAGACCCGAAACCGGGCGAUCUAUCCAUGGGCAGGUUGAAGAUGCGGUAACACGCAUUGGAGGACCGAACCGACUACCGUUGAAAAGUUAGCGGAUGACCUGUGGAUCGGAGUGAAAGGCUAAUCAAGCCCGGAGAUAGCUGGUUCUCCCCGAAAGCUAUUUAGGUAGCGCCUCGUGUAUCACCAUAGGGGGUAGAGCACUGUUUCGGCUAGGGGGUCAUCUCGACUUACCAACCCCAUGCAAACUCCGAAUACCUAUGAGUGCGAGCACGGGAGACACACGGCGGGUGCUA
rnacentral:rRNA from 1 species